UGUGGGGGCGAGCUUGCUCGCGAUAGCGGAAUGUCAGCCACUUAAAUGUUGGCUGAUCCACCGCCAUCGCGAGCAAGCUCGCUCCCACA
rnacentral:antisense_RNA from 1 species